GCGCUGGGAGGAGAGCAAAGGGGCGGAAGUCACGGAGGGUGGUGUCCCUCCGCGGCUGGGCGCGCGUUCGCGCUGGUUGUCUUUUCUCGUUUCGUCAGCUCUUCAGGUGUGUUCAGAAAGUGUUCGCUAGCGCCACUGUGACCCCGACAAAUAUCCACGACUCCUGCUGUUAUGGGGUUUACCGAGGGGUGGAGGCAGGCAGACAUUAAUCAGGAGGGGGAGGGUCCCCGCAGGCCAGCUCCUUGCUCACCUCUCACCCCCAGAGGCAUCCGGAGGCCUCUCCCUGAGCCCCAGCACAGAGCCCAACGUGCAGCGAGGCAGCUCUGAGCAGCACAGGUUGGACCUGAAGCUAAAGCACUCUUCUAAGGCUAGAUUAACACAUGAAAGUGGAGAAAUUCUUUGAGAAAGAAACUCAUUUGUUUCAAAAGAAAGAACGUGGGGUACAGCUCAGCGGUUCAUGCUCUGAACUGGUGACACCAAAGAGCAAAGCAGUGGCUCUGGUACAAACUCCUGUUCUGUAAAGCUUUGCCCAAGAGCAGUACAAGCAUUGUGGCAGCAGCACAGACACUUUAGAAAUUCAACAGAAGAAUCAUCUUUCUAGUACGAAAAAAAAAAAAAGUAGAAGGAGCCCAGCAUAACCAGGACUGCCAAGAGGAGAGAGUCAGAGAAGGCAGAAACUUUAAAUUCUGUGUGUAGACUCAGCUCAGAUCUCCAGCAGACCCCCGAACCAUGCAUGUGCUGGGCUAACUGGAAGUUUGCAGCCAAGGCUUCAAGAACUGAACUGAGACCUGAGCCAUCACCCACUACAGCACACCAGGGUGGGAUUCAGUAUAACCAAAUUCAUUACCUGAAACAAAAACUCAACACUGUUCAGAUAAAACAAUCCAAAGUCUCCGCAACAGAACCUUUACAAUGUCCAGAUUAUAGGCCAAAAUUACGGAAUUUGUCAAGUCAGGAAAAUGUGGCCCAUUUCCAAGGAGAAAGAGAAGCAACAGAUGCCAAUCUUGAGGUGACCUGGAUGCUGGAAUUUUCAGACAAGGCCUUUUAAGCAGCUAUGCUCAGUGGGGUCAAAGAAAAGAUGCUACUAAUUGAUGUAGUAAAAAAAAAAAUUUAUAUAUAUUAUAUAUAUAUAAUUAACAUUAUAUAUAUAUAUAUGUAUGAGUAAAUAUAUAUAUAUAUAUAUAUAUAUA